GAGCUGGAGAAAGAAGGAGGGGGA
rnacentral:piRNA from 1 species